rnacentral:rRNA from 1 species
AUUGAACGCUGGCGGCAGGCCUAACACAUGCAAGUCGAGCGAGCGGCGGACGGGUGAGUAAUGUAUGGGGAUCUGCCCGGUAGAGGGGGAUAACUACUGGAAACGGUGGCUACUACCGCAUACUAUCGGAUGAACCCAUAUGGGAUUAGCUAGUAGGUGGGGUAAAGGCACACAUAGGCGACGAUCUGUAGCUGGUCUGAGAGGAUGAUCAGCCACACUGGAACGGAGACACGGUCCAGACUCCUACGGGAGGCAGCAGUGGGGAAUAUUGCACAAUGGGCGAAAGCCUGAUGCAGCCAUGCCGCGUGUAUGAAGAAGGCCUUAGGGUUGUAAAGUACUUUCAGCUGGGAGGCGUUACCCGCAGAAGAAGCACCGGCUAACUCCGUGCCAGCAGCCGCGGUAAUAC